AUUGAACGCUGGCGGCAGGCUUAACACAUGCAAGUCGAGCGAGCGGCGGACGGGUGAGUAAUGUCUGGGAAACUGCCUGCUGGAGGGGGCUAACUACGGGAAACUGUAGCUAAUACCGCGUACCAUAGGAUGAGCCCAAGUGGGAUUAGGUAGUUGGUGAGGUAAAGGCUCACCAAGACGACGAUCUCUAGCUGGUCUGAGAGGAGGACCAGCCACACUGGGACUGAGACACGGCCCAGACUCCUACGGGAGGCAGCAGUGGGGAAUAUUGCGCAAUGGGGGCAACCCUGACGCAGCCAUGCCGCGUGUGUGAAGAAGGCCUUCGGGUUGUAAAGCACUGUCAGCGAGGAGGCGUUACUCGCAGAAGAAGCACCGGCUAACUCCGUGCCAGCAGCCGCGGUAAUUC
rnacentral:rRNA from 1 species